CCUACGGGAGGCAGCAGUGGGGAAUAUUGCACAAUGGGGGAAACCCUGAUGCAGCGACGCCGCGUGAGCGAAGAAGUAUUUCGGUAUGUAAAGCUCUAUCAGCAGGGAAACAAAUGACGGUACCUGAGUAAGAAGCUCCGGCUAAGUACGUGCCAUCAGCCGCGGUAAUACGUAUGGAGCAAGCGUUAUCCGGAUUUACUGGGCGUAAAGGGAGCGUAGGCGGCCUGCCAAGUCUGAUGUGAACUACCUGGGCUCAAACCCGGGGCUGCCUUGGAAACUGGCAGGCUGGAGAGCCGGAGAGGCAGGCGGAAUGCCCAGUGUAGCGGUGAAAUGCGUAGAUAUUAGGAGGAACACCAGUGGCGAAGGCGGCAUGCCGGACGGGGACUGACGCUGAGGCUCGAAAGCGUGGGGAGCGAACAGGAUUAGAUACCCUGGUAGUC
rnacentral:rRNA from 1 species